AGUGAACGCUGGCGGUAGGCCUAACACAUGCAAGUCGAACGGCAGCACAGUAAGAGCUUGCUCUUACGGGUGGCGAGUGGCGGACGGGUGAGGAAUACAUCGGAAUCUACUUUUUCGUGGGGGAUAACGUAGGGAAACUUACGCUAAUACCGCAUACGACCUACGGGUGAAAGCAGGGGAUCUUCGGACCUUGCGCGAUUGAAUGAGCCGAUGUCGGAUUAGCUAGUUGGCGGGGUAAAGGCCCACCAAGGCGACGAUCCGUAGCUGGUCUGAGAGGAUGAUCAGCCACACUGGAACUGAGACACGGUCCAGACGCCUACGGGAGGCAGCAGUGGGGAAUAUUGGACAAUGGGCGCAAGCCUGAUCCAGCCAUACCGCGUGGGUGAGGAAGGCCUUCGGGUUGUAAAGCCCUUUUGUUGGGAAAGAAAAGCAGCAGGUUAAUACCCCGCUGUUCUGACGGUACCCAAAGAAUAAGCACCGGCUAACUUCGU
rnacentral:rRNA from 1 species